rnacentral:rRNA from 1 species
GACAGAGGGUGCAAACGUUGUUCGGAAUUACUGGGCGUAAAGCGCAUGUAGGCGGCUCGGAAAGUCGGAUGUGAAAGCCCAGGGCUCAACCCCGGAAGUGCACUCGAAACUCCCGAGCUGGAGUCCCGGAGAGGAAGGCGGAAUUCUCGGUGUAGAGGUGAAAUUCGUAGAUAUCGAGAGGAACACCUGUGGCGAAGGCGGCCUUCUGGACGGUGACUGACGCUGAGAUGCGAAAGCGUGGGGAGCAAACAGG